AACGAACGCUGGCGGCAGGCUUAACACAUGCAAGUCGAACGCACCUUUCGGGGUGAGUGGCCGACGGGUGAGUAACGCGUGGGAAUCUACCCUUCUCUACGGGAUAGCUCCGGGAAACUGGAAUUAAUACCGUAUACGUCCUGAGGGAGAAAGAUUUAUCGGGGAAGGAUGAGCCCGCGUUGGAUUAGCUAGUUGGUGGGGUAAAGGCCUACCAAGGCGACGAUCCAUAGCUGGUCUAAGAGGAUGAUCAGCCACAUUGGGACUGAGGCACGGCCCAAACUCCUACGGGAGGCAGCAGUGGGGAAUAUUGGACAAUGGGCGCAAGCCUGAUCCAGCCAUGCCGCGUGAGUGAUGAAGGCCCUAGGGUUGUAAAGCUCUUUCAGUGGGGACGAUAAUGACGGUACCCACAGAAGAAGCCCCGGCUAACUUCGUG
rnacentral:rRNA from 1 species